GCCCCUGCCUGCCUCUGCCUCCUCAUCUUGACCCUUGUUCCCUGUCCAUCCCUCUCUGCCUGCAGCCACAUUAACCUCCCAGCUUCUUCCACCCUUCCCUCCACCACCCAUCGAUCACAGUUCAAAUGGCACUUCCUAGGGAAGUUUCCCACGAGACCCCCUAUCUAGGGCAGGUCUCUCUUUCAGUUUUCAUUAACUGUGUUUUCUUUUCUUGAGAGUAAUUACCUCCAUUGUUACUUCCACAUUCAUGAGUGUGAUUACAUAAUAAAGAUCCAUCUUCCCUUCUGGUCUCUAAGCUCCAUGAGAGCAGAAGCAUAUCUGCUCACCAUCAUACCCGCAGACCUUUAACCCAGUGCCUGGCACAGAAACAGGUUCUCAUGGAACAUUAUUUGGAUGAAUUUCUGAGAGGGAGACACAGAGUGAAAAACACAAACAGCUAUGAAUCAGAGCUGCUGUUGUUUUUCGAAAAGGUCAGUACAUUUGAAGGGAAGGUAAAUUAUUCUCAAAACUUGGAGACAAGGUCACUCACAAAAAUCAGCAUGUAAUAGAUGAGAUUAUGUGUGCACAGAAUCCAGAGUAAAAAGACCUAACAGCCUGUCAAAACCACACAGGCAAAAAAUAAAAACAAAACAAAACAAAACAAAACUCACACAGGAAGGGCAGAGAGGAUUUUGGACCUGAAAGUGUAUGGUCAAAAGUCAGAGAGAGAGGGAGACGGCAGGAAGCAGUGAGGUCCUGGCGUACCUGGGGUAAAAGCUGUCUCCUGACACUGGUUUGUAACACAGCCUGUGAGACCAUGUUAAUGAACAAAAUUAAUGGGGACCCAGGAUGAGACAGAUCCCUUCAGCAACCAUAAAACAUGAUCUAUAAAUGUACCAGGAUUGGAGAGUUGGGAGCCAGCCAUAUCUAGCACACCAGAGUUUGAGAACCACCAGCCUGAAGCCCAGCAUCCUCAGCGUGGCUCAGAAGGCCUGCACCAUCUGGCUCUGCCUGCCUUUGGCCUCACCUCCAUCAGCCAGAUUGAAAUACUCCCUGUUCUAGAAACAGGCGUUGUACCUGUAAGCCUCUGCACCUUUGCUCAGUCUGUUUCCCCUGCCUCAUUUGCCUUUCUUUCUACUAGGCAAAUUCCUGUUUCUAUUCCAAGGCCCUCCUGAAAUGCUCCCUCAGUCUCUGUCCCUCCCCACAACUCCUUCCCUAGGGAGACUCAGCUGCUUUCUCUUUCCUUCCCAGAGCUGCUGCUGUCUGCCUCUCUCAUAGCACUUACUGUGUGAUUGAGUUCUAAGGCUCUACUUCAGUUCAGGGAUGCAGGGAGCACACAUUGUUCAUUUGUGCCUAUUUGAAAAAGGCACCCCUUCCUCCAGAGCCAGACGCACAGGUUGGCAAUAGGAGCACAAGCUGAGGAGUGCUGGUGGAUUAAGGACCUGUUGUGGUCAGGUCACUGCCAUGGUAGUCGUUCAGUCAUGGCCUCAGAACUUCCCAUGCCAAGGGCCUGGGCGGAAAAAAAAAAAAAAAAA
rnacentral:lncRNA from 1 species